CCCCCCUCAGUACCACACCUGGAGAGUUUCCCAUACUCUACCAGUCUCGACUACAGGAGGGAAAGUCAAGCAGAAGCAUAUCUAUUCAAUUCCUAGUUUGAGCAGUGACUAGUGAGUGGAAGGCAAUCUGCUACAAGU